rnacentral:other from 1 species
AGAGCCCUGCUGUGUUCGGGACGAGACCGAUAUGUUUUGAGCCAACACCAAAACAUAGGGAGCCUGAUCCUAGUUGACGGCCGUCCUGCCCCGAAGGUAUGGGGACUGCGAAAGUCAACGGGAGGCGCCCACCUGCCAGCGGCAGGUUCAAAACGUCGGAUGUUGCGGCAUGGCGGGGUCAU